rnacentral:rRNA from 1 species
GACGAACCGUGCGAACGUUAUUCGGAAUCACUGGGCUUAAAGCGCGUGUAGGCGGGACGGCACGUCGGCCGCUGAAAUCCCCCGGCUCAACCGGGGGAAGGGGCGCCGAUACGACCGGCCUGGAGGGACGUAGGGGGGGCUGGAACUUCCGGUGGAGCGGUGAAAUGCGUUGAGAUCGGAAGGAACGCCCGUGGCGAAAGCGAGCCCCUGGACGUCUACUGACGCUGAGACGCGAAAGCCAGGGGAGCGAACGGG